GUGCCAGCAGCCGCGGUAAUACGUAGGGGGCGAGCGUUGCCCGGAUUCAUUGGGCGUAAAGGGCGCGUAGGCGGUCCGUUGCGUCCCGCGUGAAAUCUCCCGGCUCAACUGGGAGGGGUCGCGGGAUACGAGCGGACUCGAGCUCGGUAGGGGGCCAUGGAAUUCCCGGUGUAGUGGUGGAAUGCGUAGAGAUCGGGAGGAACACCAGUGGCGAAGGCGGUGGCCUGGACCGAUGCUGACGCUGAGGCGCGAAAGCGUGGGGAGCGAUCCGGAUUAGAUACCCGCGUAGUCC
rnacentral:rRNA from 1 species